rnacentral:rRNA from 1 species
UACGGAGGGGGCAAGCGUUAUUCGGAAUUAUUGGGCGUAAAGGGCGCGUAGGCGGCUAGAUGUGUCAAAGGUGAAAUCCCUCGGCUCAACUGAGGAACUGCCUUUGAAACUGUCUGGCUUGAGGCCGGGAGAGGGUAGCGGAAUUCCCAGUGUAGCGGUGAAAUGCGUAGAUAUUGGGAGGAACACCAGUGGCGAAGGCGGCUCUCUGGACCGAUACUGACGCUGAGGCGCGAAAGCGUGGGGAGCAAACAGG